GACAGAGGGUGCAAACGUUGUUCGGAAUUACUGGGCGUAAAGCGAGUGUAGGCGGUCUGAAAAGUCGGAUGUGAAAGCCCCGGGCUCAACCCGGGAAGUGCAUUCGAAACUGCCAGGCUAGAGUGUCGGAGAGGUUGGUGGAAUUCUCGGUGUAGAGGUGAAAUUCGUAGAUAUCGAGAGGAGCACCGGUGGCGAAGGCGGCCAACUGGACGAACACUGACGCUGAGUACACGAAAGCGUGGGGAGCAAACAGG
rnacentral:rRNA from 1 species